rnacentral:rRNA from 1 species
GACAGAGGAUGCAAGCGUUAUCCGGAAUGAUUGGGCGUAAAGCGUCCGCAGGUGGCACUUCAAGUCUGCUGUUAAAUACUAGGGCUUAACCCUGGAGCGGCAGUGGAAACUGAAGAGCUAGAGUUCGGUAGGGGUAGAGGGAAUUCCCAGUGUAGCGGUGAAAUGCGUAGAGAUUGGGAAGAACACCGAUGGCGAAAGCGCUCUGCUGGGCCGAAACUGACACUGAGGGACGAAAGCUAGGGGAGCGAAAGGG